AUGACUGGUAUUGAGGAGGCUUUCCCUACACCAGUAGAUAGGGUUGUUGCACCAUCUCUCGUUGAGGAGGAGGCGGCUGCACCUCCCCCCGCUCUCGUUGAGGUGGAGGCGGCUGCACCUCCCCCCGCUCUCGUUGAGGUGGAGGCGGCUGCACCUCCCCCCGCUCUCGUUGAGGAGGAGGCGGCGGCACCUCCCCCCGCUCUCGUUGAGGAGGUGGCGGCGGCACCUCCCCCCGCUCUCGUUGAGGCGGCGGCACCUCCCCCCGCUCCCGUUGAGGAGGUGGCGGCGGCACCUCCCCCCGUUCCCGUUGAGGAAGAGGCGGCGGCACCUCCCCCCGUUCCCGUUGAGGAGGAGGAGGAGGCGGCGGCACCUCCCCCCGUUCCCGUUGAGGAGGAGGAGGAGGCGGCGGCACCUCCCCCCGUUCCCGUUGAGGAGGAGGAGGCGGCGGCACCUCCCCCCGUUCCCGUUGAGGAGGAGGAGGCGGCGGCACCUCCCCCCGCUCCCGUUGAGGAGGUGGCGGCGGUGGCAGCACCACCCCCCGCUCCUGUUGAGGCGGAGGAGCCGUCUGUGAUUGUAAUAAAAACAGCUGGGAAACCUAAGUUUGCCCCUGACCCAAAACUAGUUGACAUGGGCCAGGCCAGCCCUGAGGAUGAGGACCUGUACAGCACACGUGGAUGAAGAACUACAGGUGGAAUUGAAAAUGGAGGGCAAUGUGUGUUGGGGGAUAAGGACAACCCACAGAAAUAUUAAUAUAAUGUUAUACUUUAAAGCAACUCUAGGUUUUCAGGUGCUGGUUUCUCUCUUACCCACAGCCCUACAGGCUAUACCCCAAUGCCCCAUCCUACUUCCCAAGUGUUCACUACUACACCUCCUGAAAUGGAUUCAACAUUGUUAGAAAGGCCUUUCCUCAGCCAAUUCUUUCAACAAUCCAGUUUGAAUCCAUGACAAAAAGGAGGAAAAAAUUGGAGCAGUCGUACAGUACUAGAAUGUUUUCUUUCUCGGGUGCCAUCUGUUUCAUUGAGGAGCCUGUGGUUUACAUAUACACCCACAGGAAUUUGGGUGCAGGCAAUCAUCUGUACGCUCUGCCUCCAGAGCCACCACUCAAGGUUUACCUACCAGCACUUAGGUUUCUCUGUAAAUCUCAUUAACACUAUUUCAUUACUGUGAAAGAGUUUUGUUAUAAACCAGACUGGACCAUUCCACAAUAGGUAUUCAUAAUAGGCUUUGUUUUUACCAGUGACUUACCUACUUGGGUCACUGCACUGCUGUUUAUUUCUGCCUGCCUCAUGUGGUGGAGUUCUGUUAUUAGUCACGUCAAUCUAUGCAAAUAUUUGCUGUGUGCCAUUUUGUGAACAAGUAUGCAGUUUUAACACUUGUCCACAUUUUGUAGAAUUUGUUAGUUCUUGUAGAACUCUCAAGUUAAACAUUUUGAUUUGUAAAAACCCAAAAAGGUAUGGCUGUGUUGUUAAAGUUUGACAAUCCCUGACAAGCCCACAUUCUACAAGUAGGCCAGUUUUGAUGUGUGUGUGUGUUGGAAAAUCUGAUGUUCUAGUACUUGAUAUCAUAUUGAAAAUAUUAAAGACUUUUCUUGUAGUUUACAGUAUAGGCAAGAGGAUGUAUUUUACAAUUUAACAUAUUUCAGGAUAUCAGUCUUCACUGUGAUAAUUGUUUCUUUGGGCAAUAGAAUGACCAAAUAUGGAAUAAAGGGAUUUUCCUCAGCUUUUUCAUUCUCAUUUUAUCAGAGCAGAGAAACCUGCAAAUGGAAUGGUGUUGUGAAUGACAGUCAUGCAAAAGCAGUGUGCAUGAUUUAAGAGGAAUGUUUGUAUUGAAACACUAGAGGGCAAUAAAGUUUAUGUAUGCCAUUCAGACACCACCAGUAUUUAUGUUGGAACAAUGGUUACAUUGGUCAUCCAUCUGAAAUCUUCCAUCUGAAAAAUCACUCUGUGCAAAGACAUCAUACAUUUUAGUGACAAAUGUUUCAAGGUGGCUACUGAACUGCAAACUGACAUUUAAGUUCAGAAUUCCUAAAACUAGGUUUUGCUUUAGUAUCUGGUAAGGGUCAGUU
rnacentral:lncRNA from 1 species